CAGAGGGUGAGGGCUAUGACCUUGAAGCUUCACAGCGCCCCCCACCUCCAACCCCACAGCUCCGGAUGGCCAGGAAGGGGGGCGGUGGUGAGAGCAGGGGGAGGCGCGUGGUGGGGAAAGCAGCCGGCCCACAGCGCUCCUUGCCCGCCCCCCCCCCACACCAGCUGUCUCGACAGAGAUCCUGCCUGCAAAUGAAGUCAGUGAUGAGAAAGUAAAACUGAGAGGUGCUUCCUGAUGACAUCAUCUGACAACUGGAGUAGUCAUGCCUUCUGUCCUUGAAGUCUUCAAUGACAUGACCCAGACCUUGCACAGACACGUGUCCAGUAGCUGCGCACAGAGAAGCUCCGGGGCCAGGCCCAAGCAGAGGCGCGACGCUACCAGUCCCGCCAGGGCAGCGCCAGACAUCGCGU